AGAGUUUGAUCCUGGCUCAGGAUGAACGCUGGCGGCGUGCCUAAUACAUGCAAGUCGAGCGAACGGACGAGAAGCUUGCUUCUCUGAUGUUAGCGGCGGACGGGUGGGUAACACGUGGAUAACCUACCCAUAAGACUGGGAUAACUUCGGGAAACCGGAGCUAAUACCGGAUAAUAUUUUGAACCGCAUGGUUCAAAAGUGAAAGACGGUCUUGCUGUCACUUAUAGAUGGAUCCGCGCUGCAUUAGCUAGUUGGUAAGGUAACGGCUUACCAAGGCAACGAUGCAUAGCCGACCUGAGAGGGUGAUCGGCCACACUGGAACUGAGACACGGUCCAGACUCCUACGGGAGGCAGCAGUAGGGAAUCUUCCGCAAUGGGCGAAAGCCUGACGGAGCAACGCCGCGUGAGUGAUGAAGGUCUUCGGAUCGUAAAACUCUGUUAUUAGGGAAGAACAUAUGUGUAAGUAACUGUGCACAUCUUGACGGUACCUAAUCAGAAAGCCACGGCUAACUACGUGCCAGCAGCCGCGGUAAUACGUAGGUGGCAAGCGUUAUCCGGAAUUAUUGGGCGUAAAGCGCGCGUAGGCGGUUUUUUAAGUCUGAUGUGAAAGCCCACGGCUCAACCGUGGAGGGUCAUUGGAAACUGGAAAACUUGAGUGCAGAAGAGGAAAGUGGAAUUCCAUGUGUAGCGGUGAAAUGCGCAGAGAUAUGGAGGAACACCAGUGGCGAAGGCGACUUUCUGGUCUGUAACUGACGCUGAUGUGCGAAAGCGUGGGGAUCAAACAGGAUUAGAUACCCUGGUAGUCCACGCCGUAAACGAUGAGUGCUAAGUGUUAGGGGGUUUCCGCCCCUUAGUGCUGCAGCUAACGCAUUAAGCACUCCGCCUGGGGAGUACGACCGCAAGGUUGAAACUCAAAGGAAUUGACGGGGACCCGCACAAGCGGUGGAGCAUGUGGUUUAAUUCGAAGCAACGCGAAGAACCUUACCAAAUCUUGACAUCCUUUGACAACUCUAGAGAUAGAGCCUUCCCCUUCGGGGGACAAAGUGACAGGUGGUGCAUGGUUGUCGUCAGCUCGUGUCGUGAGAUGUUGGGUUAAGUCCCGCAACGAGCGCAACCCUUAAGCUUAGUUGCCAUCAUUAAGUUGGGCACUCUAAGUUGACUGCCGGUGACAAACCGGAGGAAGGUGGGGAUGACGUCAAAUCAUCAUGCCCCUUAUGAUUUGGGCUACACACGUGCUACAAUGGACAAUACAAAGGGCAGCGAAACCGCGAGGUCAAGCAAAUCCCAUAAAGUUGUUCUCAGUUCGGAUUGUAGUCUGCAACUCGACUACAUGAAGCUGGAAUCGCUAGUAAUCGUAGAUCAGCAUGCUACGGUGAAUACGUUCCCGGGUCUUGUACACACCGCCCGUCACACCACGAGAGUUUGUAACACCCGAAGCCGGUGGAGUAACCUUUUAGGAGCUAGCCGUCGAAGGUGGGACAAAUGAUUGGGGUGAAGUCGUAACAAGGUAGCCGUAUCGGAAGGUGCGGCUG
rnacentral:rRNA from 1 species